UGGAGCUGAAAUCAGUCGAAGAUACCAGCUGGCUGCAACUGUUUAUUAAAAACACAGCACUGUGCAAACACGAAAGUGGACGUAUACGGUGUGACGCCUGCCCGGUGCCGGAAGGUUAAUUGAUGGGGUUAUCCGUAAGGAGAAGCUCUUGAUCGAAGCCCCGGUAAACGGCGGCCGUAACUAUAACGGUCCUAAGGUAGCGAAAUUCCUUGUCGGGUAAGUUCCGACCUGCACGAAUGGCGUAAUGAUGGCCAGGCUGUCUCCACCCGAGACUCAGUGAAAUUGAACUCGCUGUGAAGAUGCAGUGUACCCGCGGCAAGACGGAAAGACCCCGUGAACCUUUACUAUAGCUUGACACUGAACACUGGUCCUUGAUGUGUAGGAUAGGUGGGAGGCUUUGAAGUGUGGACGCCAGUCUGCAUGGAGCCAUCCUUGAAAUACCACCCUUUAAUGGCUGGUGUUCUAACGUGGACCCGUUACCCGGGUUGCGGACAGUGUCUGGUGGGUAGUUUGACUGGGGCGGUCUCCUCCUAAAGAGUAACGGAGGAGCACGAAGGUUAGCUAAUCCUGGUCGGACAUCAGGAGGUUAGUGCAAAGGCAUAAGCUAGCUUGACUGCGAGAGUGACGGCUCGAGCAGGUGCGAAAGCAGGUCUUAGUGAUCCGGUGGUUCUGAAUGGAAGGGCCAUCGCUCAACGGAUAAAAGGUACUCCGGGGAUAACAGGCUGAUACCGCCCAAGAGUUCAUAUCGACGGCGGUGUUUGGCACCUCGAUGUCGGCUCAUCACAUCCUGGGGCUGAAGUAGGUCCCAAGGGUAUGGCUGUUCGCCAUUUAAAGUGGUACGCGAGCUGGGUUUAGAACGUCGUGAGACAGUUCGGUCCCUAUCUGCCGUGGGCGCUGGAGAAUUGAGGGGGGCUGCUCCUAGUACGAGAGGACCGGAGUGGACGCAUCACUGGUGUUCGGGUUGUCAUGCCAAUGGCAUUGCCCGGUAGCUAAAUGCGGAAGAGAUAAGUGCUGAAAGCAUCUAAGCACGAAACUUGCCCCGAGAUGAGUUCUCCCUGAGACUAUAAGUCUCCUGAAGGAACGUU
rnacentral:rRNA from 1 species